rnacentral:lncRNA from 1 species
ACUUCUUCCUAUUGUAAUCGUGUGCCAUGGAUCUGAUCUGUACCAUGACCCUACAUAAGGCUGGAUGGCACCUCAGGCUGAGGGCCCCAAUGUAUGUGUGGCUGUGGGUGUGGGUGGGAGUGUGUCUGCUGAGUAAGGAACACGAUUUUCAAGAUUCUAAAGCUCAAUUCAAGUGACACAUUAAUGAUAAACUCAGAUCUGAUCAAGAGUCCGGAUUUCUAACAGUCCUUGCUUUGGGGGGUGUGCUGACAACUUAGCUCAGGUGCCUUACAUCUUUUCUAAUCACAGUGUUGCAUAUGAGCCUGCCCUCACUCCCUCUGCAGAAUCCCUUUGCACCUGAGACCCUACUGAAGUGGCUGGUAGAAAAAGGGGCCUGAGUGGAGGAUUAUCAGUAUCACGGAGUCAUAUUUUGUGACCUGUAGUUAACUUUCCGUGCUGCAGGCAAAGCGCUGAUUCUUGUACACUGACUUUGGAACAAAUGCCACAGGCCCUAAUUGCAGGCUCCAAGGAGUUGAGAUUCCAUACUGGGGUUGCUGGAGGCAGAAGCCUUCCCACUUUCAGGACCCGGACCUGCCCUUCCCCCACGCGGUCCCGCCCAGCCAGCUACACCCUGGCCACAGAGCGCUCACAAAGGCUCAGUGUGUGUAUGCCGGGCUGACUCACAGUGGUUCUGGGCCCAGGCGAGGACCUUCUCAGAGGGGCGGAAGGGGCCCUCUCCCUCCUGGCCAUUUUCCAUGGGGAGCAGUCAGUAACCAGGACCAUGCCAGACUUCAAAAAACAGAGAGGAAAGUGGAAGUGAAAGGCAGCAGAGGACUCAGAAUUGCUGUUUCUUAUUUCUUUCUUAGAGAAUUAUGGACAGCAGGAAGGACUCACCUUUUAGUCUGUCAGUUUGUUUGCGAGAGAGAGAGAGAGAGAGAGAGAGAGAGAGAUACAUUUUAAUUGAGAGACAAUUCACACAAUAUAAAACUAACCACUUUAUUUAUUGAGAUAGGGGUCUCACUAUAUUGCCCAGGCUGGUCUCAAACUCCUGGGCUCAAGUGAUCCUCCUCCCUUGGCCUCCCAAAGUGCUGGGAUGACAGGUGUGAGCCACCGUGCCCGGCUAAACUAACCAUUUUAUUUUAUUUAUUUAUUUUGAGACAGAGUUUUGCUCUUGUCGCCCAGGCUGGAGUGCAAUGGGAUGAUCUCGGAUCACUGCAACCUUCGCCUCCCGGGUUCAAACGAUUCUCCUGCUUCAGCCUCCUGAGUAGCUGGGAUUACAGGCACCUGCCACCAUGCCCAUCUUUUUUUUUCUUUCUUUCUUUCUUUUUUUUUUUUUUUUUAGGAGAGAUGGGGUUUCACCACGUUGGCCAGGCUAGUCUCAAACUCCUGACCUCAGGUGAUCCGCCCGCCCCACCCUCUCAAAGUGCUGGGAUUACAGGUGUGAGCCACCGUGCCAGGCCGAACUAACCAUUUUAAAUUGACCAGUUCUGUGGCACUUAGUGCAUUCAUAACAUUGUGCAAACACUACCUUUUGUUCUAAAACAUUUUCACCCCAAAAGAAAACUUGAACCCAUUCAACAGUGAUUCCCCAUCUUCCCACCCACACUCGGCCCCUGGUGACCAUCAGUCUGCUUUCUGUCUCUGUGGAUUUACCACUUCAGGAUAUUUCCUAUACAUGGAAUCGUACAAUAUAUGACCUUCUGUGUCUGGCUUCCUUCUCUUGGCAUAAUCUUUCAAUGUUCAUCCCCAUUGGAGCAUAUAUCAGUACUUCAUUCCUGUUUAUUACCUAUUCAUAUUCCAUUGUAUGAAUACACCACAGUUGGUUUACUGAUUUAUCAAUUGAUGAACACUGGAGUUGCUUCCACCUUUUGGUUAUUGUGAAUAGCACUGCCAUGAACAUUUGAGUGCAAAUAUGAGUACCCGUUUAUAAUUUAUUAGGGUUUAUAUCUAGGAGUGGAGUUGCUGGGCCAGAUGCUAAUUUGAUAUUUAACCUUUUGUGGCACCAUCAAACUGUUUCCCCAGUGGCUGCACCACUUUAAAUUUUCUCCAGCAAUGUAUGAGAGUCACCCUCUUCUUAACGUGUACCCAUUUGUCCCUUUCCUCUUUCCUACUUUUUACAAAGCCAGUUCCCCACAGACUUCUCUUUCCCCUGGAGUAGAGGGUGGGAGAAGUUGCAUCUCUAGUAGAAAGACUAUCCAAGCCUCCAUUCUUACCUUUUCCGCAAAUAGAAUACGGUGACCAGGAGGAGGAGAGGACAGGCUGCCACCUCCCUGUGGUCACUAAGGUACACCCACUACAGCCAUUAACGCGACUCCGUAAAACUACCCUCCUAGCGACCUCCAACGCCUCGGUCCUCACCCAGAACAUCACAUUAAACUUUUCAACAGUCACAGAUAGGAAGGGGCUCGGUGUGGAAGGUGCCAGCUCUGGCUCAGCCCUGCGGGUGAGUGUUUAACUUUCAGCCCAGCUUAAGAUCUCCGAAGACACCCAUCGCCUCGUCCUGCCCAGUCCCCUCCGCUAAAGGGCCGGCCUGCCCGGGCCUGGCUGGCAGCUGACAUGAAUGGAGAGGAAG